AUUGAACGCUGGCGGCAGGCCUAACACAUGCAAGUCGAGCGGAUGAAGGGAGCUUGCUCCUGGAUUCAGCGGCGGACGGGUGAGUAAUGCCUAGGAAUCUGCCUGGUAGUGGGGGAUAACGUCCGGAAACGGGCGCUAAUACCGCAUACGUCCUGAGGGAGAAAGUGGGGGUUCUUCGGACCUCACGCUAUCAGAUGAGCCUAGGUCGGAUUAGCUAGUUGGUGGGGUAAAGGCCUACCAAGGCGACGAUCCGUAACUGAUCUGAGAGGAUGAUCAGUCACACUGGAACUGAGACACGGUCCAGACUCCUACGGGAGGCAGCAGUGGGGAAUAUUGGACAAUGGGCGAAAGCCUGAUCCAGCCAUGCCGCGUGUGUGAAGAAGGUCUUCGGAUUGUAAAGCACUUUAAGUUGGGAGGAAGGGCAGUAAGUUAAUACCUUGCUGUUUUGACGUUACCAACAGAAUAAGCACCGGCUAACUUCGUG
rnacentral:rRNA from 1 species